AGCGAGCGCUGGCGGCAGGCUUAACACAUGCAAGUCGAGCGGGCACUUUCGGGUGUCAGCGGCGGACGGGUGAGUAACGCGUGGGAACGUGCCCUCUGGUUCGGAAUAACUCAGGGAAACUUGAGCUAAUACCGGAUACGCCCUUUUGGGGAAAGGCUUGCUGCCGGAGGAUCGGCCCGCGUCUGAUUAGCUAGUUGGUGAGGUAACGGCUCACCAAGGCGACGAUCAGUAGCUGGUCUGAGAGGAUGAUCAGCCACACUGGGACUGAGACACGGCCCAGACUCCUACGGGAGGCAGCAGUGGGGAAUAUUGGACAAUGGGCGCAAGCCUGAUCCAGCCAUGCCGCGUGAGUGAUGAAGGUCUUAGGGUUGUAAAGCUCUUUUAUCCGGGACGAUAAUGACGGUACCGGAGGAAUAAGCCCCGGCUAACUUCGUG
rnacentral:rRNA from 1 species